GCUGGAAGUUGUGGCAUGCUCCUGUAAUUCAGCUACUCAAAGGUUUAGUUGUUACACCAGUUUGAGGACAAGAAUCCUGGUAGUCGGUCUUCUAUGGCGAUCGAGUGUCUGCACGAAGAUCGGCAUCAACAUGGUGCUGGCAAGGGAGCCCAUCAGAACCAAUUUGUAUAAAGAGAGUCGAUUCGGCCCAAGGUGGAAACGCAGGAAGUUAAAGACCCCAUGUCAAGCAGUUGCCUGUUCGAUACAAUUGAACUCUCGACCUUUUUAAAAAUAGGCGCAGACGU
rnacentral:SRP_RNA from 1 species